rnacentral:lncRNA from 1 species
GUUGCUCUUUUACAAUUUUUACUGUCAAUGUGUAACAAUUUUCCAACAUUAUAUACCACCUUUUGAAAAUAAUCAGGCUGAGCGUGGUGGCUUACACCUGUAAUCCCAGCACUUCGGGACGCUCAGUCGGGUGGAUCACCUGAGGUCAGGAGUUCGAGACCAGCCUGACCAACAUGGUGAAACCCCAUCUCUUCUAAAAAUACAAAAAUUAGCUGGGCGUGGUGGCGGGCACCUAUAAUCCCAGCUACUUGGGAUGCUGAGGCAGGAGAAUCGCUUGAACCCUUGAACCCGGGAGGUGGAGGUGGCAGUGAAUGGAGAUCAAGCCUUUGGACUACAGCCUGGGCAACAGGAUAACUUCUUGGAUACAGAGGAAACAUGAACAAAGUACUUGUGCUUUUUGAACACUAAGUGCUGCUUCCUUGCCGCUGUCAGCCAAGCCCUUCCACCACUCCUUCAACCGUGCCUUCUGUCAUGGCUACUCAGCCCAUGGCAACCCAGAAGAACACAGAAGCGCGAGCUCAGCAGGGCUAAAGGGCAUCUUAAAAACAGUGAUUCUCAAAUCCUUUUUUUUUUUUUUUUUUUUUUUUUGCAGUGCCCCAGGGUUCUUCUAGUUAUUUUCAAGGAAUGCUCUAAAAUUUUCAAAAAAAUUCUUAAAAUCAUUUUUUCUUGUCCUAAAAAUUAUAGAUCUCUUUGGGCUUUUCAAGUCAUUUUUACUUAAGCGAUCUGAUUUGAGCUUCAGCAAUUCUUUAUGGUAGGUAUGACAGGGCUGAUCCCUCUCUUACAAAGAAAAAACUCAGAAAAAUUCUUACGAGACCCCAAAUCACAGAACAACAAUGCAGCAGGAAACAGGCAAGAACCCAAGUCCAGUCCUCUGUACUGCCCUCCGUACUCUAUAACAGAUCACACCCAGGAGUAAGAACUGGCAAAAAGGAAAUUUUGGAAUCCCUCAAACUAUGGAAGCGUUAAUUUCUUUCCAGGGCCAUGAAUGUUUAUCAGGAUUAUGCAACACUCUCUAUGUGCCUUCUUAUUCAUUGACAGAAUAUUGUUUUUACUUUUAAAGUGGGAUUAGCACAGUGCUUCACAACUGAGGGUGAUUAUGUCCCUGGGGGACAUUUGGGAGUGUCUGGAAAUAUUUUUAUUGUGAUGACUUGGAGGAUGCUACUGGCAUCUAGUGGGUAGGGGCCAGGGAUGCUUCUAAACAUCCUACAGUGCCCAGGACAGCUCCCACAACAAAGAAUUAUCUGAUCCAGAAUGGAAGUGGUGCUAAGGUUGAGAAACCCUGGAUUAGCAGUAUUUUCAUUUAAGCCAUCUGUUUUUGUCUCUUACUUUUGUUACAUAAACAUAAUAAUGCUUUCAGAGUAUAACAUUUUCUGGGUGCUAAUGACUGGUUUGGCCUAAGACUAUCAGCUCUUAGACAGUCACUAAUUCCACAAAAUGCCCUAUGCCUUAAUCUUUGCUGUUUGACAAUGCAUUGAACAGUGGUUCAAGUGACAGAGGUCACCGUUACUGAGAUAAAUUGUUCAUAAAAUAAUUUGUCAUGGUAUUUAUAACAGUUUGCUUAUAAGAGUGUUAAAAAUAAAGCGAUGCAAAUGGAGAAAGUCAGAAUUACACAUUUCAAUAAUAUGAAUUGGGAAUGGAAAUUCAGUUGUGAAUAAAGGAGUAACCUUUGACUUUUCUGUGUAUAGCACACAUUGAAAACCUUGCAACAAUGCAUGUCCAACCUUUAAAAAAAAAAACGUGGUGAGGAAGGAGUGUGCGGCCCCUCCCCACCACCUGCACACCAAUCUUUAAAAGUGAAUUUGGU